UGAGCAAUCUGCCCUUCUCAUCGGAAUAAGCGUUGGAAACGACGUCUAAUGCCGAAUACGACCUCCUUUCGCAUGAUCGGAGGUGGAAAGCUCCGGCGGAGAAGGAUGAGCUCGCGGCCUAUCAGCUAGUUGGUGUGGGUAACGCCCACCAAGGCGACGACGGGUAGCCGGCCUGAGAGGGUGACCGGCCACGCUGGGACUGAGACACGGCCCAGACUCCUACGGGAGGNAGCG
rnacentral:rRNA from 1 species